rnacentral:rRNA from 1 species
AUGAACACACUCCACGCAUACAUGCUAGCUAGCAAGCUAGCUAGCACACACACACACAUCCAUUCAUCCAUCCACCCACGGCCAAGCACACACUUGUGCUCAUAUGCAUAUACGAGGCCAGAUGCCUAUGGCACUGACCUUAGAUACAGCUCCAGGAGCACUCUGUACCAGAUAUACAUACCAGAGAUAUUCAGACAUGCAGGAGUAGGGAUAUUAUCUCUCCGGAGAGCCCCGAACCUGGGUAAACUAGCGCGUGCUACUCGCAUACCCGCUCCCGGUCCUAUCAGCAGCAGUCUUACCCUCACACUAAGCCCUUCUGGCAUCUGUCGCCUCACACCCCCCGGUGAGAAUACCACGACAGUUGGCGCCCACGGUGGUGUGGUACUACUACUAUGCUACCACGCUGCUGCUGGUCUCGCAGUCCGGGCGGGACCAUUUUCGUCUUCACCGCUGCGGCGUCGCGUCGUCUCUCCGGUAGCGCUCGGGGGCUCGACUUCGACCCGACCCCGGAGCGGCCGUGCGGGACGGCGCGUCCUCGCCGUCGGCCUCACCAUUUUCGCCAUCAUCACCGCGGCGUCGCCGUCGUCUCUCCGGUAUCGCUCGGCGGCCCAACAUCGACACGCCCCCGGAGCGGCCGCGAGGGGCGAAGCAUCCUCGCCGUUGGCCUCUUCGUCACCACCGUUGCGACGCCGGCCAUCCGUCCGUGCACGCGCCGCACGCGGGGCCUCGCUUCGGUCGGCCGUGUCCAUCCACGCGCUGCUCGCGUCUGCUUCCCUCCGCGUUACGCCUUGCUCCGGCCGAAACACGCGCAUUCGCUCAUCCACAUGCCAUCUUUGCAAGCGAGCUAGAUGCAAGUCAACAAUGGUCAAACUUUGGCCAUACACCAUCCAUACACCACCCAAAAAAUCUUUCGGAUGA